ensembl:lncRNA
GGAAGAUAGUUCGUGGCCACCCAAGAGAUGCCUGUUAGUCGAUGAACCCUGUGAAUGUUAAAUAAAUAUCCUGAAAGAUACUAAGGACUAUUAUUGAACACAUCUUAGGCCUAGUAACGGGGACGCUGGCGAGUCUAACGCCGCUCUCUUCUGUCUGAAACCCUUCUGGACCUCGGAUCGGACUACAAAGUUAAGUUAAUCGUGCAGCUGUUGGUGGAUGACACCUGCUGGCCGGCUAGACUGCUGCUAACCCCCAGCGCCGUCCAACUGGCUUCCCCGUCUCCAGCGUAGCUACAACCGCAGGCUCCACUCCUCUGCCUCCGCUGUGCUGGCUCUGUGGCCUCACCAUAAGCCACAGAGCCCUGGAAACUG